rnacentral:rRNA from 1 species
CCUACGGGAGGCAGCAGUGGGGAAUUUUGGACAAUGGGGGCAACCCUGAUCCAGCCAUUCCGCGUGAGUGAAGAAGGCCUUCGGGUUGUAAAGCUCUUUUGUCGGGGACGAAACGGUUACGAUUAAUACUCGUGACAACUGACGGUACCCGAAGAAUAAGCACCGGCUAACUACGUGCCAGCAGCCGCGGUAAUACGUAGGGUGCGAGCGUUAAUCGGAAUUACUGGGCGUAAAGCGUGCGCAGGCGGUUUUGUAAGCCAGAUGUGAAAUCCCCGGGCUUAACCUGGGAAUGGCAUUUGGGACUGCAAGGCUAGAGUAUGGCAGAGGAGACUAGAAUUUCUGGUGUAGCAGUGAAAUGCGUAGAUAUCAGAAGGAAUACCGAUGGCGAAGGCAGGUCUCUGGGUCAAUACUGACGCUCAUGCACGAAAGCGUGGGGAGCAAACAGGAUUAGAUACCCUGGUAGUCCACGCCCUAAACGAUGUCAACUGGUUGUUGGGAGAUUUAUUCUCUUAGUAACGAAGCUAACGCGUGAAGUUGACCGCCUGGGGAGUACGGUCGCAAGAUUAAAACUCAAAAGGAAUUGACGGCGNGAGAGAGCGAGACGACGACGAGGAGAGG